AAGCUGUUCCCGUACCUCCGAGAAAGAUUGCAACAUGCCUUACUCACUGAAACAGAAUAAAUAUGUCCGGGAAAAUUGUAUUAGAAUAGCCCAGAUGGAGAUUGUCAAAAUAUAAAUCUUUAUUUCGUAUGGGGAAAAUAAGCUUUACCAUGCCAACUUAGGGGACCUGACAAAGCCAAAACAACUCUUGCCCCGUCGCAUGUCUGAAGAAAAGAGAAGGGAGAGGAGGUUUGGGCAGCUCUUGCUGUUUCUCAUUGCAGCCCAGGAGGCGGCCUGGAACCACAAUCUAAUAUUGAGGUAACAAUUUAUUGUAUUUUACCAUCAGCGGUGGGACUUCAGGAGUUUAUAUCUGCAGCUGUUCACUGCAGCUCCACAGCCUCCGCCAUAAUUCAACGCAGCACCAGUGGAGCCGUGCGUCUUGGCACCACCUGACAAUCCUGCUUGCAAAUUCGUCUGAAAAUCUGAGCUCUGAAAUCCUGCAGGAUACCGUUUUCCCUUUGCCAGACCCCUCCGCUAUCCUUCGGAGCCGGCGCAGCGUGUAUGUGACCGGGAAACGGACCUCGCUGCCUUCAACCUGGGGUUUCUGUGCCAGGCAGCACCGAGCAUCGCCUUCUGCAUCCCGAGCUGAGGCAGCGCACAAACCCGGAGCUGCCGAGGGGAUGGUUCAGGUGGCUCCUUAGCUCUGUAAAUGCUAAAAUAGCUACCGCAGUUAGAAAACACCAAACCCAGUGAUACACCGUCUAAUUUUGAAUUAUUCCAGAUACCACUCUCAGAGACCUGAAAGGGCUUCAUUGUCAUAUUCUUCAGAGGGUGCUGCCUCUGCGCACGGGGCUGCUCCCAGCACGUGUUCGGGUGGAAAUCCCAUCUUUGAGAAUAUCCCAUGAAAAAAGACCACCAUACGCAAGGACCUAUGGAUCAUACAUCACCCCAGUGGCACCGGGGACGCUCUGAGGACACCUCAAAUUCGUUGUGAAUCUGGAAGCUGGAGAAGUUUACUGACCAGAAGGAAGUCUGUGCCUCUCGGUGAGCUGUUGGAAGUGGGAUGAGGAACCUGGAGAAGUGCGGCAGUUAUCUUCUUCCCUGGGCAUCCCUUUUGGCGUCUGCCGUGAGAUGGGAUAAUGCUCUACGUGAACUACUGCUCUGAACAGACUUACUGAGACUUUUCCUGCAACAAGAAAAGACUCGUUUUGAUCUUCCCCCAACCUCUUGUAGCUUCCCAGGUUUCAGGAUUUCUUUUGCACGUUUGAAAAAAAUGCCAUUGGGACAGAUAAAUGCCUUUGCUGCCGUACGGAGGUUCAUCUGCAGCUGCGGCAAGGUGUAUGCAGCACUCCGACUCCCCUUAACAGCUCCGCUUCAAUGAGCAGCAGUUUUCUGCAGUCAGUUCUGACUUCCCCAACUUCGAACUAAUACAAGCAGAAAUACAUUUUUAUUUUUUUUUCCACUGCAACAAAGCUAAUCCUGUGGAAAGUACUGGGAGGGUCUGUCUUUGUUGAGUCCUGCUGUUAGCCCUGCCCUGCCCAGGUGGUGACAUCCUCUUCCAGAUGGUUACAGACUGAAAAACAACGUCUAAGCAAGCACCUUGUAACUCCUUUUAUACAGCCUUUCGUGUCUCUGCCCUCCCUGGCCCAGCAGACCUUGUCAUUUACCACCACUGUUGCUCCACGAGUCAGCACUGAGUGUGUGGGUCCGGUCCCACAGCCGUGUCCAUCCAUCCUUGCAUCCUGACUUGGUCCAUGGAAUCACGUAAAUAGAAAUCAAAGUAAUUGACGGAGAUAUGCUGAUUUUUAUUAUUUUUGCUGUUGGAAGACAAACAAGGUAAAUCACAAGAAUGAAGUGGUUUUGACUUUAUAUCUUCCGUUUCAAAAUGACCGCUCCAAUAUGUAGUUAAACAGAGGGGAAAAAAAAUUAACUAAAAUAUUUCAGUUUAUUGAAAUGUAAUUUUCAGGCUGGUCCAAACGAACUUACGAGUUUCUCUUCAAUGGCUUUGUCUGUCCUCUGUUCAAAACCAAACAGUUUUUAACUUCCAGAUUUUCUUGAGGCGCGCAACUCCUGCCCGGUGCUGCCUAGUUGCCCGUUCAGCUGCGUUCGCGGGGGAGUGCAGCCCUUUCCUAAGUCAAUGCAUUCAAAGACAGGAAAUAUUUCCUGCCUUAACUUUGUGCAAAAUCACAUCCUCAGACGGGCAAGCUUUCUGAGGCAUGGACGCUCACCGGACUUGGACAGCUUAGGGCUACCAGGAUCUAAGUGAGUACAAUUAAUCUCUGCGCUGGAGGAAGGCGACCAAGGAGUCCUAUUAGCACUGAAGCCGCUUUGACUCAGAAGGAUCAAUAACGCUUAUUUGCAAGUGUUUAGAGUACAUUAUUUGCAUUUGUGAAGGUAAUGAAAAAACUAUUGAAUUUUAAUUAGCAUUUUCUGGCUCUUCUGGGAGAACUCUGAUUCAAUCCACAGAUAUUUUCAGUAUAUUUGAAGACAACAUUGUGGGCAACAUUCAGAAUAAUUUCUGAUGUUCUGCCAUUACAAAAAACACCUCCAAAGCAUAGAUUUCCAUAAACUACCCACUGCCACAAGUUAUUACAGACGCAUAGUAAUGGGUCUAUUGUACUAUAAAUUGUUUUGUCAUUUUGAAUUUCUGGUAA